UGAACGCUGGCGGCGUGCUUAACACAUGCAAGUCGAACGAGAACGGUCUUUAGCUUGCUAAAGAUGUCAGCUAAGUGGCGCACGGGUGAGUAAUGUAUAGUUAAUGUGCCCUAUAGAAGGGGAUAACAGUUGGAAACGACUGCUAAUACCCUAUAUUCCUAUUAAACAUAAGUUUAAUAGGGAAAGAUUUAUUUCGCUAUAGGAUCAGACUAUAUUGUAUCAGUUAGUUGGUGAGGUAAAGGCUUACCAAGACUAUGACGCAUAACUGGUCUGAGAGGAUGAUCAGUCACACUGGAACUGAGACACGGUCCAGACUCCUACGGGAGGCAGCAGUGGGGAAUAUUGGGCAAUGGAGGAAACUCUGACCCAGCAACGCCGCGUGGGGGAUGACGCUUUUCGGAGUGUAAACCCCUUUUAUUAGGGAAGAUGAUGACGGUACCUAAUGAAUAAGCACCGGCUAACUCCGUGCCAGCAGCCGCGGUAAUACGGAGGGUGCAAGCGUUACUCGGAAUCACUGGGCGUAAAGCGCAUGUAGGCGGAUAAUAAAGUCAGAAGUGAAAGCCUAUAGCUUAACUAUAGAACUGCUUCUGAAACUCAUUAUCUAGAGUCUGGGAGAGGUAAAUGGAAUUAGUAGUGUAGGGGUAAAAUCCGCAGAGAUUACUAGGAAUACCGAAAGCGAAGGCAAUUUACUGGAACAGUACUGACGCUGAGAUGCGAAAGCGUGGGGAGCAAACAGGAUUAGAUACCCUGGUAGUCCACGCCCUAAACGAUGAAUGUUAGUCGUUGGUAGAUUAAUUCUAUCAGUGAUGCAGUUAACACAUUAAACAUUCCGCCUGGGGAGUACGGUCGCAAGAUUAAAACUCAAAGGAAUAGACGGGGACCCGCACAAGUGGUGGAGCAUGUGGUUUAAUUCGAAGAUACGCGAAGAACCUUACCUGGCCUUGACAUCCCAAGGACCUUCCAGAGAUGGAGGGGUGCCCCUUUUUUUUGGGGAACUUGGUGACAGGUGCUGCACGGCUGUCGUCAGCUCGUGUCGUGAGAUGUUGGGUUAAGUCCCGCAACGAGCGCAACCCUCGUAUUUAGUUGUUAACAGAUUGUGCUGAACACUCUAAAUAGACUGCCUGGGUAACCAGGAGGAAGGUGAGGACGACGUCAAGUCAUCAUGGUCCUUACGGCCAGGGCGACACACGUGCUACAAUGGUUAGGACAAUGAGAUGCGAUACGGUGACGUGGAGCAAAUCUAUAAACCUAAUCUCAGUUCGGAUUGUAGUCUGCAACUCGACUACAUGAAGCUGGAAUCACUAGUAAUCGUAGAUCAGCCAUGCUACGGUGAAUACGUUCCCGGGUCUUGUACUCACCGCCCGUCACACCAUGGGAGUUGAGUUCACCCGAAGCAGGGAUGCUAAAUUGGCUACCUGCCACGGUGGGCUCAGCGACUGGGGUGAAGUCGUAACAAGGUAACCGUAGGAGAACCUG
rnacentral:rRNA from 1 species